AUCCGGGGCAAAGACAAGGAGGCUGGAGCAACCGAGGGGCGUGUUCUGUUGCUAGAAGGUUCUGGAGUGUGGACAGUUAAACCUUUUUGUGGGUUUCGAAGUUAACAUGCGAAUGUGUGUCAGUAUCUGACUCUGAGUGGGCCACGGGCUGCCCUGGGUACAGGGAAACGAGGGAGUGGGAGCCUGCGGCCAGCGUUCCAGGCCUCUGCCAGCGCCGCAUCUCGACGCUACCGAGCCAAGCUCGGGAAUCGGCAUGAGGACCCCAGUACCAGCAGUAGCCACGCCCGCCUCCCUCAGGGCUGUUUCCCGUCCUCCUCAGACCCGCUCACCGUGGGCUCCUGGCGGCCUCUGCAGCUCUUCGGCAAGCAGAGAUGGUGGGCGCCACUGGCCGAUCCUCACAAACCAAAACCUCGCGCGACAAAAACGAACGCGGACCCGGAAGUGCGUCAUCACACUGACUGGCGAACCCGUACACUCUCUGGAUUUCUCUCUAGGACUCCUGGAGGACCCCACAUCUUGGUGCUUCCUUCCUAAUUCCCGCGAGGUAAAGCGCACACUGGCGAGAUAGGCUCUUGGCGUUCCUCCAGAGCCGAGUUCUGAGUUGAGGCACCUUGCUCAUGACACUGCAUCAUGGUGCCAACCUUGAAUACUGGCUUCCAGUGCCUUUAUUACUGUGCUACAAUAACUGCAACUACAAGUCUUACCCAGAAUAUGCAAGAAAAUGUGAAUUGUUAUACGUUUUAUUGAUCUCGUUAAAUUUAGCAUUUGGAUUGUUACAGCAUAAUCAACGAAUCGCACAUUAUACAACCAGGACUUCUCUUGAAUUGCUGUAAUGAUUGCACUCCUAGAAUGUGAUGUCUUUCAAUGUUGCUGACGCCUCUCACUUCCAUACAUUACUACUAGCAGAGAGGAUUAGCAAUGGACCAUGGGCAAAGUGAGAGCAGUCAAUUUACCCAAGAAAUAUUCAUCCCCUGUCCAGCAGAGCUUAACACUGUCCCAGGAAAACAGCGUCACUACAUCAAUCAGAGGCUUCAUCCUGUCCUCUCAGGCCGGGUGCACUUCUGUGCAUCUAUCUCAUCCUACCUGGGAUCUCUCAAACGUCAUCCUGCUGGUGAAUACAAAUGGAUACAUCUUCACCUUUGGACACAGAUUCAAUGAAAUGCCCCCAUUGACUUACCUCAAAACUCAAGUGAACAGAAGUUUGAAGGAACCCAAGAUCACCUGAGGCCUGGCUAUAAAGGACACAACUGUCAACCUUUGGGUUAAUUCCUUUCAUUGAGAAAAGUAUGAUUCUAUGAGCUAAAGGCAGUACAUCAACAAGACUGGACUGAUCACAACUCCUGAAUAGAACCUCCACCCCAGGUUCUAUUUUAACAUUUAACAUUGUAUAUUGGUGGCAUGACUCUAUGCUCAUAAAAGGGAGAUAACAGGCACCUGUCAGAAUGCUGAGGUGAAACACAGAUGAAUCUAGGUAGAAACCUGAGAAUACUGUAAGUUCCAUGGAUCCAGACCCAUAAUCACAGGAUCACAUGAUCACAGGAGAGGAGACUGGGGGAGUCAAUGGUUAGAGGAUUUAUAAGCCAAGAGAAAAGAAAAUGGAGCCCCAAACUGUGAAAUCCAAGAAGGGGGUCAUGUGAACCCCAAUUUAUAGCUAGUUUUUCAGAAGUAUAAGUGACUACCUACUACUUGUGAUUGGCACUUGAAGUGGGAGGCAGUUGUGUGGGACUUAAUAUGUGGGAACUAACCCUACUCUAGGUAGUGUUGAAUUGAAUCAAAUCAUAGGACACCUAGUUGGUGUUUGCUGGAAAACUGGUUGUUGGUGGAGUGAAACCCCUACACAUUUUGGUCAUCAGAGGUGAAGUGUUGUGUUAAGUGGUAUGAGACCGGGAAAAACACUUUGGUUUUUCCUGUCUCUCACAGAAUUAAAGUUUCCAAGAGAAGCAUCAGAAGAGUGAAAGGUUGGGACCAGCAAAUCACAAGCCCUAGGCCCCAAACUAGGGUCAAGUGGAAAAGAAGGGUAUAAUAGUGAAAUGACCCUCCUCUCCACUUCUGCAGCUCCAGUGAUGCUGUUCCUACUCAUGGUCACACUGGAAUAGUUGCAGUGAACCAUGAACACGAUCCUCUGGAAAUGGAGUGAGUCCUUGGUAAGGCAAAGUGGCUGUCUCAGAUUCUGCUUAUUGGAGAAAUUUCCCUUUUCUUGGUCCUCCAAGUUCACGUCUGAAAGGAACAUGAGGAAGGAUACUCACUGAGACGGUUGAAGGGGACACUGUUCUGACUUAACAAACCAUUUCCUUUUGGCAUGAUAUUGGGGACCUGGAACUCUUAGUUGACUGCAUAAAACAGAGUGCUUUUACUUAUAAUAGAAAAAUCUGAAUUAUAGGUAUAACCAUAAAGCAAAUUUCUUGGUUCAUUUAACAAAAAAAACUCUACGAGUAGUUCAGCUUUCAAAUGUGGUCUGAUCCAAUAGUUCAUGUUGUCAUUAGUGCCCAUGGUGCUACAGCUCCAUUUCUCCGCAAUUCUCUUGAUUCUAUUUUCUUCCUUCUUGCCCUCAUAGUGACAAGAAAGUUAGCUACCUCUUGCUUCUGGAGCCAUAUGUAGGAGGCUCCACAUAUAGUUAUGCAGUUUUUCCAGGAAGAACGUAAGGGCAGAAAUUCAAACUGUUCCGUUUGGCAAGCUGUGGUGCAAGCUGUCUGCACCCAUAGGUAGGGUCAACUUUGCUUAGUACAGAGACUCCAAACUUGAACCUAUGGAGCUGCACCUGCUCAGAAUAGUGUCUAUUUCUAAUUUCUCCACCCAGAUCAAGCACCUUUUUCAGCCCCACAGGGUCUGUACUUUAAUCUAUUUUUCCACAUGGAAGCUUUUUUUCUAAUUUGCACAAAGGCACUAUAUAGACUAGUAGUGGCCAUGGCUAUAUGCUAUUCAAUUUAAAUCCAGGGACAAAGAGAGGGAAUCUCUCCCUUAAACUAUUUUUUAAAGUCCUGAGCUUCACUCUGUUUGGGGAAACCCCGGAUACAUGCCCAUCCCUAACCAAUAAAAGUAGCAAAAGAAAUGGGACUAUUUGAAUUUAUUUAAGCCUGUCAGGGCUUAACAACUGGUAGCUGGUAGUAUAGUUAAACCCACCUUAUAUGGCUUUGAAAUGUGGCUACCUAUUAAAAAGAAUAAAAGUGAGACUGAAUGCUGGAGGAGCAACCAAUCAAAUCCACUACAUCACGUAGUAUCGACUGCAGGGAAGUGAAAGGGCAUCUGUUCGCUAUUGAGCACUACCAGAGAUUUUGUUAAGAUUUUUUUUUAAAUGUAGCCUUCCUGAUUUUGUAGUUUUGGUCUUUUAAGAAACAGGAUUAGGGGUUUGUCCCUCUCCUCCCACAUCUCCAUUAAAUCAUUUCUGUUUCAGCAGUGGCUUCAGAGAAGUUUUAAAAAUUAAACUGGCGAGAAAAGGCAGAGUCCCAUACCUCCAGGCGCUACCUCAGUUACCGGUGCUUUAGGACAAGAGCAGUAUUGCAUCAGUAAGGCAAAGGGUGAGCAGCAGUAGCUGUUUAGGAGAAAUUAUAUUGAUUUUCUAUCCCCACUUAUGUGGUUCCUCUUUAGUAUCUUCUAGUGCUUUCACUCACUUUGACAAAGAGAAAAUUGACUUUCCAAGUAGGCAGAGUGACUGACUUUACAAAUGAUCUGAGCACCCACUAUAGAUAAAAAGUCAUCCUCUUAAUAAAUUUGUGUUCCAUCCC